rnacentral:rRNA from 1 species
UACGGAGGAUGCAAGCGUUAUCCGGAAUGAUUGGGCGUAAAGCGUCCGCAGGCGGCUAUGUAAGUCUGCUGUUAAAGAGUCUGGCUCAACCAGAUAAAGGCAGUGGAAACUACAUGGCUAGAGUGCGUUCGGGGCAGAGGGAAUUCCUGGUGUAGCGGUGAAAUGCGUAGAGAUCAGGAAGAACACCGGUGGCGAAAGCGCUCUGCUAGGCCGCAACUGACACUGAGGGACGAAAGCUAGGGGAGCGAAUGGG